AUUGAACGCUGGCGGCAGGCCUAACACAUGCAAGUCGAGCGAGCGGCGGACGGGUGAGUAAUGUAUGGGGAUCUGCCCGAUAGAGGGGGAUAACUACUGGAAACGGUGGCUAAUACCGCGUACCAUAGGAUGAGCCCAAGUGGGAUUAGGUAGUUGGUGAGGUAAAGGCUCCCCUAGGCGACGAUCCCUAGCUGGUCUGAGAGGAUGACCAGCCCCACGGGAAAUGAGACACGGUCCAGACUCCUACGGGAGGCAGCAGUGGGGAGUAUUGCACAAUGGGCGCAAGCCUGAUGCAGCCAUGCCGCGUGUAUUAAGAAGGCCUUCGGGUUGUAAAGUACUUUCAGCGAGGAGGCGUUACUCGCAGAAGAAGCACCGGCUAACUCCGUGCCAGCAGCCGCGGUAAUUC
rnacentral:rRNA from 1 species